rnacentral:rRNA from 1 species
AUGUUCAAAAAGUCCUCUCACGUCACUUUUGGGCCAAGAAACAUAGAGUCCAAGUCUCUCACGUUCUGGAUUCAGAUUUGGACUUCACAAACACAUCUGAUUCAAAACACCAAGAACUCUUUCAUACGAACUCCAAAUUGGGUGAUUCUCUUUUUGUUGGAAAGUAGAUUUCAUGCUCUUUCCAACCCAAUGGGAAUCACUUUAAAAUCUGUCUGGAGCGUUGAGUUAUGGACGAAACAAUUUGAUGCUGCAGCAGAAUCCGAGUCAAACUACAAGUCCAAAGGUGUUACGUCACCUCCACUUGGUCCCAUUGGCCUUGUACGACCUAGGGUUAGUUUUAGGCUGCCUUGGGACGUCCUCCCACCUCCUUGA